AGCGGCGGACGGGUGAGUAACACGUUGGAUAACCUACCUAUAAGACUGGGAUAACUUCGGGAAACCGGAGCUAAUACCGGAUAAUAUAUUGAACCGCAUGGUUCAAUAGUGAAAGACGGUUUUGCUGUCACUUAUAGAUGGAUCCGCGCCGCAUUAGCUAGUUGGUAAGGUAACGGCUUACCAAGGCAACGAUGCGUAGCCGACCUGAGAGGGUGAUCGGCCACACUGGAACUGAGACACGGUCCAGACUCCUACGGGAGGCAGCAGUAGGGAAUCUUCCGCAAUGGGCGAAAGCCUGACGGAGCAACGCCGCGUGAGUGAUGAAGGUCUUCGGAUCGUAAAACUCUGUUAUUAGGGAAGAACAAAUGUGUAAGUAACUAUGCACGUCUUGACGGUACCUAAUCAGAAAGCCACGGCUAACUACGUGCCAGCAGCCGCGGUAAUACGUAGGUGGCAAGCGUUAUCCGGAAUUAUUGGGCGUAAAGCGCGCGUAGGCGGUUUUUUAAGUCUGAUGUGAAAGCCCACGGCUCAACCGUGGAGGGUCAUUGGAAACUGGAAAACUUGAGUGCAGAAGAGGAAAGUGGAAUUCCAUGUGUAGCGGUGAAAUGCGCAGAGAUAUGGAGGAACACCAGUGGCGAAGGCGACUUUCUGGUCUGUAACUGACGCUGAUGUGCGAAAGCGUGGGGAUCAAACAGGAUUAGAUACCUGGUAGUCCACGCCGUAAACGAUGAGUGCUAAGUGUUAGGGGGUUUCCGCCCCUUAGUGCUGCAGCUAACGCAUUAAGCACUCCGCCUGGGGAGUACGACCGCAAGGUUGAAACUCAAAGGAAUUGACGGGGACCCGCACAAGCGGUGGAGCAUGUGGUUUAAUUCGAAGCAACGCGAAGAACCUUACCAAAUCUUGACAUCCUCUGACCCCUCUAGAGAUAGAGUUUUCCCCUUCGGGGGACAGAGUGACAGGUGGUGCAUGGUUGUCGUCAGCUCGUGUCGUGAGAUGUUGGGUUAAGUCCCGCAACGAGCGCAACCCUUAAGCUUAGUUGCCAUCAUUAAGUUGGGCACUCUAAGUUGACUGCCGGUGACAAACCGGAGGAAGGUGGGGAUGACGUCAAAUCAUCAUGCCCCUUAUGAUUUGGGCUACACACGUGCUACAAUGGACAAUACAAAGGGUAGCGAAACCGCGAGGUCAAGCAAAUCCCAUAAAGUUGUUCUCAGUUCGGAUUGUAGUCUGCAACUCGACUAUAUGAAGCUGGAAUCGCUAGUAAUCGUAGAUCAGCAUGCUACGGUGAAUACGUUCCCGGGUCUUGUACACACCGCCCGUCACACCACGAGAGUUUGUAACACC
rnacentral:rRNA from 1 species